AGCAGUCGCCACGGGAAUACAGAGGGUGCGAGCGUUAAUCGGAUUUACUGGGCGUAAAGCGUGCGUAGGCGGCUUUUUAAGUCGGAUGUGAAAUCCCUGAGCUUAACUUAGGAAUUGCAUUCGAUACUGGGAAGCUAGAGUAUGGGAGAGGAUGGUAGAAUUCCAGGUGUAGCGGUGAAAUGCGUAGAGAUCUGGAGGAAUACCGAUGGCGAAGGCAGCCAUCUGGCCUAAUACUGACGCUGAGGUACGAAAGCAUGGGGAGCAAACAGGAUUAGAUACCCCGGUAGUCCCUGUCUCUUAUAA
rnacentral:rRNA from 1 species